CCUAAAGCCAUCAUCGUAAAUCACAUUGUUAGACUGUCCAGUGGCAAAAGCCAUCAGUCAAACAAAAAUAAUCGUAUCAGGCAAGACAGGACAAUCCAGGGGCCUGAAGGUCAUAUCCCAGUAGCCACAGGCAAAGACCAGACCUCUCUUUGGUUCUAUGAGUUUAACCAUUAAUGCCAUUCAGUUGCCAGUAUCAAGCAAAGCAAACCUAAGCCCGUUUUAAUCCGCUUUUUAAGAAAACUGGUAGUCUUUUUCACACUUCCUGACGAGAGUGAGAUAGAUAUAAGUUCACAGCAUCCAGAGAAAUCAUCACGAAGUUAUAUGUAUUUCUGGUCAACACUGGAACUACUCUAACAUUUGACACUGAACUUACAGUGUAAACUGUGGCUGAUCUUAAGCAUGCCAUUCAAAGAAAAUACAAGAUUGCUAUUCAGCACCAGGUGCUGGUGGUCAAUGGAGGAGAAUGCAUGGCUGCAGAUGGAAGAGUAUGCACCGACAGCGCUGGGAUGGACACAAAUUCAAUUUUUCUUUUUAACAAAGAAAUGAUCUUAUGUGAUCGUCAACCUGCUAUUCCUAAAACUACAUUUUCAACAGAAAAUGACAUGGAAAUAAAAGUUGAAGAGUCUUAGGAUGCCUGCAGUUUUCACACUGUUGCUUCAAGGACACAACUUUUCACACUGUUGCUUCAAGGACACAACUUGCAGUGGAUAUAAUUUAAAACUUUGGAUAUAAGAUAGCAUGUCUCAUUUCUAAGUUCUGACCCCUCUUUCAUGUUGCCUCAAUUUGGCCUAACUGUUGCUUCAUCCUGCUGUUCAUCUUCCCCCCCCUGAUGGCACACAGACCAUCUGGGAAAAGUCCUUCCCUGCCUGGCCAGCUCAGUCGGUAGAACAUGUGACUCUUAAUCCCAGCAAUGUGGGACAGAUCCCUGAAAGAAAGUAAGCCGAGAUGCUUCUUUCAGUCACCAUCUGGGAAAGAGCCUUCCCAACAUCGAGAGAUUUAUACAAAGAAAAGUAAGACCUCUUCAAUCAAGAUAUUGAUCAUCAAUGCUUUUAUGAGGAAUGCUUUGAUCAUAUGGGGGGAAAUAACAUCUUUUCUACAAAAGCAGUUCUCUAAAUUUUCCUGGCCUUAAAGAGAGGGUGUUUGUAACUUGGAUGAGACAUCCUGUUCUUAAACAAAAGACUUGUAAUUGAUCAAAAAUUUUACAUAAGACUAGACGCUCUGAAAGCAGUAAUAUCCUGAACAGUUUAACAUUAACAAACUCUCUGGACUCAGAAUCAACUGUUACAUGGAGCAGAAUCCCUUUCCGGAGUUUCAACAGUUGGUAAUUACACCCAAUUCACAGCACCUGGAGUGAUGCCAAUGCAGCCACACUGAGACAAUGACAGCAUCAGUCCUCACCUGAAGAAAAUUAAAAGGACUUGCCAUGCUAAAUGAUACCAGCUUUGCUUUAAAUGUUUUUGUCUUAACUGUGCAAACCUGAUCUAUAGCUCUUGUCUUUUCUCUUAAAUAAAUAAACAGGGGAAGAUGUAGAGGAUUCAUAAAACAAAUGUACUUCACAGCGCCUGGUUUUCCAAAGCCUCGCAGUUUCAAAUAUUGACCUUGCAAAGGACAGGAAAUUUUCCACAGGCUAUUGAGUCUCUGUUGCAAGAUAAGAAUCAUAACACAGCAAGGUUACUGACUCAAAGACAGACAAGUUACUGAUUGAUAUGUAAAGAUCCUGGGAAAUUGUGGUAAGAAGAAAAUGUUUGCUAAAAUCAAGCCUUUGUUGCAAAUUGCAUUACAGAAGGUCACCUUGCUUGACUUACUGAAUGUUACCAGCUUCUAUUGUUAAACUUGUUAAACUGUACUUAGCAAAAUCCCACCUAUGUCUCUUCCUGUAACUUCCUGGGUUGGAAAAUAAAUGCAGGAGGAGAACCCCAAUUCGUGGUUAAUUUCCCAAAUGGAAGAAAUGCCUCGUGCUUGGGGGCUAUGGGAGAUUACCCCCUUUUUGAAGCUUCUCACUGCUCAAAAGACAUGGGCUUUGAGUAAUCUUUGGCAGCUCCAUCACCCAGGGGAAAAGGGGUGACAGAUCCGUGGGAGGCAAAGCAACACAAAAACCCCAUCUAAGUUCUCCUCAUGUAACUUCCUGGUCUGAAGAAUAAAUGCAGGAAGAGAACCCCAAUUUGGGGUUAAUUUCCCAAAAGGAAGGAAUGCCUCACUUUUGAGGGUCGUGGGAGAUUAACCUCUUUCUGGGGUGUCUCACUGCUUAAAAGGGAUGGGCUUUGAGUAAUCUUUGGCAGCUCCAUCAUCCAGGGGCAAAGGAGUGACAAAUCCAUGGGAGGCAAAGCAACAUUGUCCCCUCUAAAACUCAUGUGGGGGCCAGCCCAUGGCUCACUUGGGAGAGUGUGGUGCUGAUAACAUCAAGGCCAUGGGUUCGGAUCCCAUAUAGGGAUGGCCGGUUAGCUCACUGGGUGAGCAUGGUGCUGACAACACCAAGUCAAGGGUUAUGAUCCCUUUACUGGUCGUCUUUAAAAACAAAUAAGACAAAACUCAUGUGGAAAUUUGAUCCCCAAUGUGGCAGUGUUGGAAACUGACUGAGUCAUGAGGGCGGAUCCCUUAUGAAUGGAUUAAUGCUCUCCCUGUGGGCGGGGGGAGUAAUGAGUGAGUUCUUGCUCUAUUAGUUCCCUCGAGAGCUUAUUGUUUAUAGGACCCUGGCACCUCUUGCUUUUCUCUCUUGCUUCCUCUCUCGCCAUGUGACCUGCUUGUACACGCUGGCUGCCUGCCACUUUUCCGCCAUGAGUAAAGGCAGCCUGAGGCCUGUGCCAGAUGCAGCUGUCCCAGAAUC